UACGUAGGGGGCAAGCGUUGUCCGGAUUUAUUGGGCGUAAAGAGCGUGUAGGCGGUUUCAUAAGUCCGCUGUGAAAACUCGAGGCUCAACCUCGAGCUGUCGGUGGAAACCGUGUGGCUAGAGUCCGGAAGAGGAGAGUGGAAUUCCCGGUGUAGCGGUGAAAUGCGCAGAUAUCGGGAAGAACACCCGUGGCGAAGGCGAGUCCCUGGACAACAACUGACGCUGAAGCACGAAAGCUAGGGGAGCAAACAGG
rnacentral:rRNA from 1 species